rnacentral:piRNA from 1 species
AUGGUCUAGCGGUUAGGAUU